AGCACAGGCUGCGUGUGCAGUUUUAUAGGUUUUUAUAGAUAGUUUUAUAGACUGAGGCACCAAACCAUAUAGAUAACAGAGGGCAGAUGUUACCAGUACAAUUAUGAUAGAUGCAUAGCUAUAUAAAUAGCAAAAUGCCUGAGAUGUUUUCUGCUCCUUAUUACUCAGUUGCAGAUUUUUAUGGAAUGCUUGAUUCUCAGACAACACAUUGUGUAGUAUAUUUAAUUAUUGUAUUGUCCCUCAUACCUUUCAUUGUGAUAAUUAUUGUUGACCCUCCUAUUGAUUAAUGCACAUGUGUUAACCUUGUUCAUCUGCUCCCCAGAGUUGGCCUACUUGAAAGACAUGCAUCUAUUAGCAGGACUGCGAUCUGGGCUGUGUGCAUAUCCACACAGUGGGUGAGAAAGGCUUCUUUUCCACAAGAAAUGAUGAUGAAAUUCUCGAUAUGAAGUUCAUUUGAGGUUCCACAUGCAUGUCUGCUAAUAGGACUUAAUGAGCCUGCAGAAACUACCUCCCGCAAUAAGUGUUAUUCAGCAAAGAUUUCCUUUGCAUGUAUGCUUCCUACAAAGGGCCCCAAUUCCUGUUGGGAACUUCUGUUUGCUAUUAGAGUGUAAAUAUUAAAUACUGUCUCAAAAAUAAUUGAGAGCAAAUGUGUUUUAUGUGCAGUGCAGAGACUGUACCAUCAGUAAUAGGAAAGGUGAUGCAUUUAUCUAGGCCUCGAAGAGGAAAGAGGACACCAGUGAGUACUGACACACUGAUUGUUGCAUAUACAAAGAGUUAUAAUUAUUAAUUUAUUAACUUGGCACCAGGAUUAGAUCCAUUACUUAUGUAGAGCUCCAAGCUAUGCUCUGCCAAAAAGAUGAAACCACCCUCCCCUGGCAAUGUCAAGACAUCUAUAAUUUAGAGAAAUUAGAUAGUUACAGCUGAAAAAAAAUGCUUAAGAUUCCUGUAUAAAAAAAUUCUGUGUGCUUGUAGGAUACCUUCUAAGCACUGGAUCAUCCCCUGCUGAGGCACAAGAGGGCAGGAAGAAUCGUGGAUCUUUCCUUACUGCUCCAAGACUGUUUCUAUGGAAAAUGGAAAAUUGCAAAUUGCAUAUUUUAAUGACAAAAAGUUGCUCUUCUGUUCGGUAGAAAUCAGGGCACUUGAGACCGAGGGCAUCUCCUGCGAGGUGCACGCGGCACGUGUGCGGUGGAAAUUUCCCACGUACAUUUACAAAGCUGUUGUACCGGUAGAAAUAGUAAGAAGAAGCUGAGCAGCAGCACUGCCAUUGCCAUAGUAACUCAGCUCGGGAGUUGAUGAUGAUGAUUCAGUUGUUGGAGCCUGCUUUAUCUUUUUCCAUUUCAAGCUCAAAUUUUUGCCCUGCUAAGAAACAAGAUAUGAAAAGUGAAGUCUUCAGGCUGCCUCAGAAUUCAUAAUGAGAUACGAUUCCUUUUGAUCUCCUCUCCUUUUUGCAUAGAGAUUUAUAGCCUUAUCAUAAAUCAUAAAACAAUCAUUAACUUUGAAACAUUUCCCCCCCACACACAGUCUAUAUACAUCUAAUAAAUAUUGAGGAAUUAAGUCACUUUUCAGCCUACUAAAAUAUUUUUACUGUGCACUAGUUAAUCAUCAGUACCAGGAGGAACACAUAUUUGACAUGGUCCGGUGCUGUCACUCUUUUACUCCUCUUGAUGUCUUUUACAAACCAGCAGUAUUGCUGCAUUACGUAUAAAGAUAAAUUUCAUAACGAGUAUGUAACGCUGUGGAAAGACAUUAUACAUUCUAAAGGGCCUCAGAAAACCCACAGAACACAGUAUUUUCUUAGGCUUUUUCUUGCUCUGCUCCCUCCUGGAAACCAGCAGCUCUUCAGGCAGCCGCAGAGGCUGCAGAUUCAGCAGAAGCCCCUGGGCUGCAGGAGCUGCCAAGGCAAAGGUGGGCACGGAGCCAGGCCCCUGGGUCAGACCUGCGGCUUUCUUCAGAGGGGAGCAAGGAGCUGCCCUGGGGACGGUGCCACCCAGCACAGCUGGAUUCCAGCAUCCCCUGACACAGCACAAUGCAGGCACGGGGCGAACUUCAGGAAAGGUUCUGGGUCUUGGCAAAUUGCAUUGUCUUUGAAAUAAUUCUAAAUGCAUUUGGAAUGUUCUAAGUGGUGCAGAUGGCAUCUUAUGCUGUUGCUUCUAACAAGGUUGUAGGAGAAACAUGAGAGAAGCUGUGAUUCUGCAGGCAGUGGUGUGCCCAUGCAUCCCCCGGGGCUGUGUGAAGGCACAGCCAAGCGCUUAUCUGGAGACGCUCAGACUUUCUGUCACUACGCAUAACAAAUCAGAUUCCUUCCUAUCAGCAUGUGUAUUUCGGUUUCCUCCUUGUAUCAAUAUAUAUCAAAUAAUAAAUACUGUUCUCUGAAAGUUAUUAUUGAAAUUAUUCUAAUAGUAAGAGUUUCAACUAUACUUUGUUGUUUCUGGUGGAUAUGUGUCUAACUUGCUCUUAGAAGUUCUCAGCAAUAGUUUCUAUAAUCUCCUCAACUAAAUUAUUUCUCCACUCGUAAUAAUCUUUACUAGGUGUUUGGUAUGAACUUUGUGAGCAAAAGUGGUAAACACAUUACUUCUUGUCCUGUUCACCAUAGAUGUGAAGAACAGAAUGCCGUUUUUGUCUUUGUAGCAACUUUUUAUGCACUUGAAUGUUGCCCUCUCCUUAUCUCUUAGGUAUGCCUAACACUUGUAAUUUGUGCAAAAUUUUGUUUUGAAGGUCUGACUUCGUAGUCCCCAUCACACCUACAGCAGCUCUAAGUGGCAUCCAAAUGUGGACACGCUAUUGCAGUUGAGCCCGUGCGAGCUGAAGAAGUACCUCACGUUUAGUGUCUAUAGAAACCAUUACGUGGGUUUUUUCUGUUCAUAUGACAGUGGAGUCAGCUUGUGUUUCACAGCAGUCCCAAUCCUUUACUGCAGAAUGCUACCUAACAAGUUUUUCUUCAUCCUGUACAGCUCGUUAUUCCUUCAUUAAUUUUCAUUUGUCCAUUUUAGAAAAACAUCCUGUUAUACCAAGAUGACAUAAUUUCUUAGGAUGGUUUUGUAUUCUAAGCAUUCUCCAAAGCACUGCCAGUCUCAUUCAGCUUGGAGUUAUGUGCACAUUAAUAAUAUACUCCUUAAUUCAUCAUGCACGCUAUUAAUGGAGCUGCUUGCCAGACCCAGGGCAGAUCCCUGAGGACCAUGCUGAAAUAUAUGCUGCCAUUUUUGCAGCAAACCAUUGAUAACUGUCGUUCCGAUAUGAUUUUGUAACUGGUUUCGCACCCAGUCAACGAUAUUUUCAUCUCUAUUGUGUGUCCUUAGUUUGCUUUGAGAAUGCACUGUCAGUAGAGUGUCAGAAGAAGUGCUCAAAUCAAAAUAUAUUACUUUAGCUGUUUCUCUCUUACCCAAAGGCCUGUCACCCUGUCACAAAGGAAUUUAUAUUGGCUUGACAUAAUUUAGUCUUAACUAAUCCACAUUGGCCGUUAGUCAUCUCCUGUUCCUCCGGAUGCUUACAGAGAUAGUUUGCGCAAAAGUGAUCAUUUCGGUUAGGACUGGGGGGAACUGAGAGGAGGCCAGCAUCGUGGCUGGCUCCCCAGUGAAUGUUGGUGGAUAUUAGCAGAAUAAAGUCUGCUUUUCUAGGCUUUUCAGCCCAGUUGCCCUUCAGACUGCAGCAGGGCUGCUGCUGCCCAGGCGGUCAGUGUUGGGGCUGCGUCUGGCACGUUCCAUCAACUCCUUCCAAUGCGGCCUCAGUCUUCUUAACCUCUUGCAUCUCUUUACAAAGCUGAGAUCUUUCACAGUUGUCACCGGUGGUAACCACUUGAUUGGCAAGUGUUCUUUUAGUAAAAUUAAACUUGACAGCAUAAUUUGUUCAUACCCACUGUGUGGUAGACCAACAGUUUGGGUUCUUCUCCUGUUACUGAAGUACUCCAUGUGUCCCUUUGCUAAAUGCAGCAUUUUUUAUUCACUUUUAUGAGAGUAAUACGUUUUUAUUGCAAUUAAAAUCUGUUAUCUGAUAGUCGUUUUAGAGAAAAUUUGCAUUGAAGUGUUAGCUGAUGCGUUUUUGACUAAAACACAAGAGCUUAAUCUGUAUAUUCAUGUCAUUCCAUUUUAAAACAUAAGGUCUGAUACAUUUUUUUUCAGAAAGUGGGCACCUUGAAGAUGAGAACACCAUAAACCUAUAUAUAUAUGUAUAUAUAUAUAAUAUAUGUAUUUUUCUAGGAAUAAAGUGUGUAUGUGUGCUUUUUUAAUAAUAAAUUCAUCAAAAUAAAUGUAAUGAAGCUAUUUAAUUAUAUACUUGAUUUUAUCCCUUAAAAGAAAGAAAAUGGGUUUUGGUGUUAGGUAGUAAAUGUAUAGCAUUAUUUGAAAAGACAAAGUAAUGAAUAACUAUGGUGUCCCUGCAUAGCAUUACAAAUUAUGUCUGCUAACAUCACUCCUGCUAAACAGGAGUAGAAAUCCUUCCUCCCUAUCAAAACCAGAAAAUAGGUUGUCUUUAGAAGGAAUGUCUUCUGGCAGGUGUUCAUCUUAUAAGAGAAAUGCAGUAAAAAUGCUGAAGUUAAUACAUUUUUUUGAAUAAAAGGGAAAAAGCUAGAAGCUAAAAUACCACACUGAAAGGUCUUCCAUAUUAAACAGGCAUAAAAGCAAUGCUGUGCUGUCAAGCUUUACCUGGAAAUUUUGGGGGUAAAUAUAUUUUUUCCCUUUGGCUUUCAAAUUCGUAUUUAUUAUAACACAAAAACUUAAGCUAAUGAAAGCUGAAGAAAGGCCACAGGAGCCGAGGCGAAAGGGCUGUGUGACUGUGUCCCCUGGCCAGCACUGCUGGCGUGGCAGAGCACAGAGGGCAAGGUCACACAUGCUGGGAUAUGUUUGCAAAAUACCUUCUCAGCCUGUGGGAAUUUGUAGGUCAAGGGCUUUCCGCAGCAGAGGUGAAGUCAUACUUUGCAGGUCUAACUGGAUUUUGAGCUAUGAAUUUUCCCUGUUGUUUUCUGCAGCCAUCUCUACACUCUCGAAGUCUGUCACCUUCUGCAGAACAGUGUUCCACGGCUUAAUUAGAUGCGAGGUGACAUCACUACUUUUGAUUGAAUUUUUUCUUUGACAUGGUGACCUAAACACUUGGCAUCAUAAUGCACUAGCACUCAGGCAACUCGCAUGGUGCCCUGAAUAACCUUGUAUCAUCAGCAACAUUUGUCUCCUCUCUGGUCACUGCUUUUUCCUCUGACCGACUGCUCAUUUGUCAGCUGCACAAAUCUGUCUGGGAUAGAAGAGGCUCCUCUGUCAUCCUUAAGCUCUUCCUUCCCCUGCCUGCUGCUUUUCCCCCACCUCUAACACCGAAGAGCUGGGACUGGGGUUGCUGCAGCCACAGGAUGUUGCUGGCAUGUUCCCCGACUGAUCCAUGUGCUGCAGCACUGCCAGCCGGCGUUGCCGAGGGGAAGGACAUCUGUGUGUCCUACAGACUCAGGCACGGGUGGAAAAGGCACCCGAGGAAGGUUGUAGCUGCUAUUCCAUUCCCAGAGCUGAACAACGAAUGGGCAGCCUUGCUGCCUUUUGUUCUCUCCUGAGAUGACUGAACUAAUGAAUUAUAUGCGUUGCCUCCAGUUAAAAGUUUACUCUGACACCUUGAUGCGUACCAGGUGAGCUGAGUUUCUCCAUUUGAAGUCACAUGCAUUUUAAAAUAAUUAAGGCCAAUUUUGAAAGAAAAAAAAAAAAAAAAUAAGUGAAUUAAUUGUGCCAGAAAAAAGUCAUCAUGCAGUUCAUUUUAACAAUAUGGCUAAGAACUCCCUUAUUUGCUUUGAUGGGUCACAUGAAGGUGCUUCUACUAUUAAGACUGGAGAGCACAGAGAAGGGAGCUCAUAAACACUGAGUUAUGCAUUCUGUGUUUGCUGCUCAAAAUAGUUAUAAGCCUGGAUGUUUUGUCUGCCUGAAUGCAAUGCCUUCUUUCCUGUUUUUAUUCUUUAAUUAUUCCUACUACUGUUUAUCACUUUCUGAAGUCAGGGGAUCAUAUCAGCAUUUAUAAAAGUAGCAACACCAUAUUAGUGUAUUAGCAUUAUUUUUUUCAUGCAUCUAAAAAUAUCAGAAACAUUCUAAUUUAAAAGGUGAGAUGGAGCAUUACUUUAUCUAAAUACUUCUCAUUCCACGAGACUUCUAUUUACAGGCUGUAGGCUAGCAAAGUUAAUCAAUUAGUUCUUUGGAACUUGGAUGGCUAAAAGAUUUGACUGAGACAGAGUCUUCCCCUGCUAAGUCGCUGAUUCAAAUCAAAGCUCAGGUUCAGUUAAAUAUUUUAAUAAUUUCAUUAACUAAUAAUUAAUAGUAAUUUUGAAGCUGUUCGACAGUUUCUGUCUUGAAAUAAGCGGGGUUGUCACAAUCUGGUCGUCAGCAGAUCACAGUUGUCCAGACUAUCAAAUUUGGUAGAUGCAACAGAGAAAAUGAAGAAAAUCACCCAAGCAAAUUACUUUUAUAGAACAAGUUUUGAGGCAGCAGGAGGGCAGUCUGGCCCAUGCUGUGAGCUUGGUGCAACCAUGAUGGUGAAUCAAGGAGCAGCUGCAGCUUUCCUGCUGCUGCGGCCUGACCACAGACCUCACGGGCCACCUCUGUCCCCCUUUUAAAUCUGCUCUCAGUGUGACUCGGGGUAGGGAUCUGUCAGAGCUGAGGUGCCCCUAGUACAGAGGCGCUAGUCUGAGCAUGCUGUGGUCUGUUGGAAGCCUCCUGCAAGCCAAAAGCAUAGCAUAGUGCUGGUCUGCAACCUCCCACAACGUUUUAAAAGUGAAAAAGUAAGAAAAAUAAAUGCAUAUAAUUGUUUUUUCUGCAAAGCUGUUCUCAGUCCGAUGUCAUCUGUCUUGUCUUUUGUAAGACCUUUGACACAGUCCCACAUAGCAUCCUUGUUGCUAAAUUGAAGAGAUAUGGAUUUAAUGGAUGGACUACUUGAUGCGUAAGUAAUUUUCUGAAUGACUGCAUCUAAAGAGUUUCAGUCAAUGGCUCAGUGUCCAAAUGGAGAUCAGUGGCAAGUGCUGUCUCUCAAGGGUCCACAUUGGGACCGUUACUGUUCAAUAUCUUUAUUAAUGAUACAGACAGUGGGAUUGAGUGCAGCCUCAGUGAAUUUGUGGGUGACACCAAGCUGAGUGUUGCAGCUGAUACUCUUGAGAGAAUGGAUGCUACCAGAGGGACCUUGAUAGGCUUGGGAAGUGAGUCUGUGAAGUAAAAGAACGGCAAGUGCAAGAUCCUGCACCUGGGUAGCGGCAAUCCCCUGUACCAAUACAGACUGGAGAGUAAAUGGAUUGAGAGCAGCCCUGAAGAGAAAGAUUUAGGGGUACUGGUGCAUGAAAAAUUGGACAUGAGCUGGCAGUGUGCACUUGCAGCCCAUAAAGCCAAUUGUAUCCUGGGCUGCAUCAAAAGAAGCAUGUCCAGCAGGUCGAGGGAGGUGAUUCUGCCCCUCUGCUCUGCUCUGGUGAGACCCCACUGGGAGUCCUGUGUCCAGCUCUGGAGCCCUCAGCACAGGACAGACAAGGACCUGUUGGAGAGGGGACAGAGGAGGCCACAAAGAUGAUCAGAGAGCUGGAACAGCUCUGCUGUGAGGACAAGCUGAGAGAGUUGGGGCUGUUCAGCCUGGAGAAGAGAAGGAGCCCUUACUGUGGGAUUUCAAUAAGGGGAAUUUAUAAGAAAGACUCAGAGACUUUUUACCAAGGCCUGUAGUAACAGGACAAGAGGCAACAGUUUUAAACUGAAAGAGAGUCUGCUUAGAGUUGACAUAAAGAAGAAAUUUUUUACGAUGUGUCACUGUGUCACCACAGUGGUGACACACUGGACGAGGUUGCUCGGAGAAGUUGUGGAUGUCCCAUCAUUGGAAGUGUUCAACAACACUUGCGCUUUUUCAACAACAAUGGGGCUUUAAGCAACCUGAUCUAAUGAAAGAUGUCUCUGCCCAUGGCACAGACAGGUCCCUUCCGACCCAGACAGUUCUAUCAUUUUGUGGUUCUAUGAUUUUCUGCAGAACCUUUAAACAGGUGAAUGGGUAAGGCAGAUACAUAAAUUCACUUUUAAGAUUAGAGGAUGUUAAAUCUUUUCCAAAAAACAGAUUAAUCCAUCUCAACAAAAUCUCAGACCUGAAGAAGAUCUGGGUGUGUUAUUUGCCUGCACUUGUAGUAUGAAAGGAAUAGAGUGGGCAGUCAAAAUUCUGAAUUAGCAAGGGAGUGAAAAGAUGAUAUAACAGAACAGCAGAAAAAUUUUAAUGGACUUUGGUUUACAUUUUGAGUAAGAAAAGUACCCAGGGAGCUGUGUGACAGACUGUGUUCUCCAGCACCCUCUCCUGGUUGGCUCAAGAGCGGCAUUACAGCCUUGAAGUGUCAGCUCCUUUGGAGGAGGUGAAGGUGACAGACCGUAUAUACAUACAUUGUGAACGGAAAGUCAAAGUAGGAAUGAAAUGGAUGAGGGAAUCAAAGUUAUUUUCCUUUUUCCCAGCAACCCCGAGCCUACCUACAGGAUUGGAGUUAAAUUUGUCAUAAAUUAAUAUUCGUGGUCAGCUUACUGGGCUGUGUGGGAAAUGAAAUAAAACAAUUGCGUCUUCACAGGCUCAGAAACAGGUUCAGAAUACGCACCUGGGGCAUGUUGAGAAGCCACAGUGCUGGUGCAGCAGAGGAAAAGGCAAACCAGUCGGUUCAAACAAGUCCACCUGCCCCUGCCUUGCCCAGCGGUGGAGCUUCCAGUCACUAACCACAGCAUGGGGCUUUUAGCUGUAAUUCUGGAAGUGGUGGGAGCGGUAAAACAGAACCCGUGUACUGCCAACGUCAGUCUCAUGCCUAACAUGAAUAAUUUCUACAAAGUGUGUGCAACGGAGAGAAAGAACACUUUCUAAUCAGGUAACUGCUGGCUUCAGUUGCUCAUAUACUCCUAAAAAGCAACAACUAUAUAUUGAUCUUUCGUUUCAUUUGGUGCAUGCCGUUGCCAAAGUGUUAUGAAAUGAAAGACAAGGCUCUUAACAUCAGGCAGUUUUAAGAAAAUGUCAACAAAUUCUAAAUUGUAAAUAUAUGUCAAAGAAAUGGAAGUUAAAUGUUUUUCAUGACUUCAAGGUAUUUUGUAGAGAUGUUUCUAUUUAAAGAUGUAUAUAAUAUUUAAGAUUAAAUGAUUGUUAUAUUAAAAUAUAUAUGCAAAUAAAUACACAUACAAAAGAUUACAUCUAAAAGAAAGAAAAUAUGCAUUUAAAUUAUUAGGAUGACGUAAUUUUCAAGUCUUUUGACAGCCAGUUUCCCGUAACAGCAAGAUUAAGCCCAAUGGAUGGCAUUAGUGUAUCAGAAAUUUGCUAUCUUUGAUUGGUGGCUAUUAAACAUCCUUAGAAUAUUGGUCUGAAGAAUAACAUAUAAAAAAUGAAAGUAUGUUGUUUACUGAAAUGGCACCUCAGUGAUUUCAGACAGGUAUUGCAGUUCACAUCUUUCCUAACUGAAUCCAUAUGAUGAUGCUUAUAUUUGUCCCAUGGUCCAGUGACUUUAAUUCAGCUAUGGGCAUAGGAAGGGCUGCACCAGGAAGAACCACACUCCAAUGCCAUGGAGAUAUUUCAGGGGAACUACCACCGCUGAUGCUUGGAAAAGGGAAAUGUCCAGAGACAGUCUAGCCCUGCUCAACUUCGGGAAGGGGCAAGCAGCAUGAUGAGCUCCAUGACGCCAUCCAAGUGGAGAGAUCUCUCAGUGAUCUUUGCAGUGGGUGGUGGGUUCCUGUGGUUGUACCGCUAUCUUCUCUAGCUUCCCAUAGCUCGUAGCUACUGACAUCUUCAAAGUGUCUAACAAAAAAUCAAUUGAGUUGACUCUUCUGUAAAUAGAACUGUUUCAGUUCUUUAAGUGUCUCCUGAUAUAUAAAAUUUACUUUGGACAAAGGCUUUAGGUGCUAUGGGAGGAGGGAGGCAGAUGAGAUGACCUAAAAAUUAUGUUUCUGAUAAAUGAGAGAUUCUGAGAAAUUUUUUAAAUGAGCAGUGUGUAAAUUGCAACUGCAGUUUUAUCAUUUUAUUUAGCAGUAUUGUAGUCAUUUUGUCUUCAAACAGAUGUAGUAACUUUGGUCACAAUUUUUUAACAGGAAAUGCUGAAUCUGAAGUAAAAAUAUCUGUAUCCCUAAAUUCUUCAGUGGUUUGUGUAACUUGUGAGAUCUUAAUAUCAAUAGAAAAUCCUAUAAGCACAUAUACGUAUAUGUAAAACUCUCUCCAUAUGCAUAUACAAAUACAAAGUCAAUUCAAGCUGGCAUAAGAAAAUGAACUUUUUUCAGAAUCAUUAGAUCAGUCUUGCACUCAGACUAAUUAUAGUCGCACACCAAUGUCUGCAGACAGGUUAAUUUGACAGUAAAUCACACCCCUUGUGCUGCAUGAACAAUGGGAAAGAAGAGAUUUUUCCUACUGCAUAUCUAUUUCAACUGUUGGAGAAGCUGUUACUAUGUGAGUAGGAAUAAAAAUUUUAGAGAAAUCACAUUUUUUGUAAUUGUGCAGGGGAAGAGUAAGUCCCUUAAAGAUUCACCUACUCUGGGGUUAGGGAGAUGAAUGCAACUGUCAAAUGCAUUAAUUACUGAUCAGCCUCAAGGGACCAAGCUGGUAGCAACAACUGCUUCAUGAGACAGGUGACAGGUUGAAACUGAAGAGCUCAGAGACCAGGCAGAACCUGGCUCUGACCAGAGCUGCUCAACACACCAGCCUUGAUGGGCUCCAUUGGAGACCCUGAUCUGUCUCAGCUGAUCUUUCUUGGUGGGCAAGAGCUCUGUUCAUUCUUUUAAUAGACUCUGAGAUUGCCUAUGAGUUGUGCUAGAAAUUUUUGCUGAUCAAAAUAAAUGUAAGAAUUAAAACUACAUGAAGAACAGAGUAUAGUUAGUGGCAAUUAAUUUGAUAACCUAGGGUGCUGCAGAAUUCCCUGCAGUAGUUAACAUUCCUUUGCCAAGCUUUCAGUAUUGAGAUAGAGGGUAAUAACUUCCAUCUCAUCCAACACUUAAAUAAAAACUGCAGUGUUAUCAUUGAAUUAAUAUAAAGCAUUAUACAUCAGGUUCUAUUUUAAGGAUAUUUUUUUGUGUUUGGUUUGUUUGUUUGGGUUUGUGGUGGUGUUUAGUUAGUUAGUUAGUUAGUUUGUUUUGUGUGUGUGUGUGGUGUUUUUUUGGUUUUGUUUUGUUUUGUUUUUUAAUAAUGAUCAGAUCUGUUACACCUUGCUUCUAAAUCCCGCAUAUGCAUUCAAACCAACAGCACUAAUGCUUUUCAGAAAUACUGCAGAAAUGUCAUUCAGGAAAAAAAUGCAGUGCUACUCUCAAUUUUACAGAAUUUAAUGGUAUUACAACAGUUUCCAGGCUCUCAAUUUUGAAAUAAAUUCACGGAAGUACUACUAUUUGAGUGACCACUGUACUUCACACAACUUAAAUUAACUAUUGUUAUUUAGGGUCGAAGUCAAUCUCAUGAAUAAUAUUGUCAAUUAUAUUCUUGCUUAGGUUUAAUGAUAAAUGAUCUUUCAAAUCUUACUGUUCUACAGAACUGUAGUAAAAGUUCACUCAAUUUGAAUGUCUUGUCUGCAUGCUAAAUUCCUCUUUCUGUAAGAUUUUAAAGGAUUUAAGAUGAGUUUACUGUUCAGGUGCUCUGCUUCUAGGCAACAUGAGCCAUACAACCUUUGAAAUGCAUGCAGAGGAAUUUACUGCUUUCUGUGGAAAGCACUGCGUGGAGUUUUUGGUGUAUACAUACCAGCAGUAGUGCUGUGAUAAUAAUUAAAGUGGUGGUUUGAUGUAGACGUUUGGUAAUCACAUAGUAUUUAUAAAAAAUGCAAAUAAGAUUCUGAUGCAAAAUGUUUUAGGUUAUUUACUUUAGGAAGAGGGAAUAUGAAAAAAGAAGCAGUAUUUCACAUCCAU